rnacentral:rRNA from 1 species
GAUGAACGCUGGCGGCGUGCCUAAUACAUGCAAGUCGAGCGGUAAGGCCACUUCGGUGGUACACGAGCGGCGGACGGCUGAGUAACACGUAGGAACGUACCCCAAACUGAGGGAUAAGCACCGGAAACGGUGUCUAAUACCGCAUGUGCUCUUCGGAGUAAAGCUACGGCGGUUUGGGAACGGCCUGCGCAUGAUUAGCUAGUUGGUGAGGUAAUGGCUCACCAAGGCGACGAUCAUUAGCUGGUCUGAGAGGAUGAUCAGCCAGACUGGGACUGAGAACGGCCCAGACUCCUACGGGAGGCAGCAGUAGGGAACUUUCCACAAUGGGGGCAACCCUGAUGGAGCAACGCCGCGUGCAGGAUGAAGGCUUUCGGGUCGUAAACUGCUUUUAUCUGUGAAGAUUAUGACGGUAGCAGAUGAAUAAGGAUCGGCUAACUCCGUGCCAGCAGCCGCGGUAA